rnacentral:lncRNA from 11 species
UCUCUCAUACAGAGUGAGUGUGCACUACAACACUAACUAAACUGCAUAAUGAAAUCACAGAAUAUUCAUGGAUAAAAAUGGAUAGGAGGAGAGGUAUAUUUCACCCAUUCCUAAGCUAAUAUAAAAAAAUAAGGCUUUCCGCAAGUCUCUUUUUAUGUUUUUUGUCCCUGGCUAUAUAAUUGAUUUAUGAAGGCACAGAGCAAAAUGCAGCACAGAGUUCAACACAUUUAAGUCGGACUGCAAUCUGCAGGGCUUAACUACGGCACCAUGCUUCAAACAAAAUCAAAACAUACACAUAAAUAUUCCAAACCAAAAAUCUUUUAAAGUCUGUCUUCAUUGUAAUAAGUAGAAGUUGGCAACGUGUGCAGUUAGUACCACAGAGACAAAAUCCAUUCCAACUGAAAAUGCAUGUGGUUGUUAUACUCGGGCUCAUCUGCUGCAAGGCACUGCCUUCAAAGGCAGAACAUAAGCAACAACUGUUUCAAAAUGGACCCUGACUGCUAACAGCGACACAUACUAACUCCUUGCUUCAUGAGUUGCUUGAGUGCAGAUUUAUGAACCAAUGCCCCCAUCAGUCAUUUUAAUCUGGAUUUUUCCUCCAGGUAAAUUCAAACCGGAAGAGAGAAUGGGAGUCCAUCAUGGAAAUCAAAUUGGAUGGUUUGGGCAACAUAUUUAUUUAUUAAAGGAAGUCGCAAGGCUAGAACCUCCAGCUCAGCAUGAAAAGGAUUCCAACUUACCCAACAGGCAUCUGGAAAAUUCUGCAGGCAGGCAUGUCUGGGUCUCAUGUUGGGAGAAGAGCAAUAUGAAUCUAUUUACACAUUCGGAUUCCCCUGAAUGUGUAUGCAAUUUUGAUGGUUGUCAGGCAAGAGUUUUGUGAGACAAGGAAUACUUAGGAAAGGUUUGACAUUGCCUUCCCUGAAAUGUAGCCUACAGGACUGUUUCUCAGGCUGAUGUAAGGAACCAGAUUUUUCCCCAGUAUGCCAGAGAUUAAAACCUUAUUUAUAACAAUUGCCUAGAACUGCUUCUUUCUUUCCUAAACACCUUCCAGGGACUGGUAGCCAAUAGCUUAGCAACUGACACUCAUCAAAGCACUACCAUUUUAAGUAGAGCUGCCAUACAGCAACAGGAAUUUCUGAGUGAUCUCCCAUCCAAGUACUAACUAGGCCCAACUCAGCUAAGUUCUCACAAUCUGAUAGGAUCUGUUGCAUUCUGGAUAGUACAGCAGUUACCGCUGAAUCAAGACUUGCUAAAUGGUUGCCCUACCUUGUACUGAAAAAUUUGGCUUGUGGAAAUAAGGAUUGGUGAUAUAGCUUCAGUGGAGACACCUUUUCCCCAUAAUAACUCUUCCAGGAGUGCAUUUUCCUUCCGAGGGGUAAAGUUCUCUCACUUCUGUUGUCUCACCCCUGUUCUUAACUAUGAGUCAAUUAAGUCAGAUGUUUGUAACUCAGGAAUUGCCUGUACAUUAAAAAGCCCCCUAAGUAGUCUAUAUAUAUAAAAGAGUGAUGGCAUCACGGCAAUUCACAAAACAACAAAAGUAGAGGCCCCCCAACCUCAAAAUUUGACAACACAACCCAUCAUCCACGCCUCAAGGUUGAUACAACAAAAAGAAAAGAAAAAUAAAGUCCUAAUUAGAGGGAGAGCAAUAUUUUUUUUAUCCAAUUGCUGCCAGUUUAGAGGGCUAAUCUCUGCCCACUUGGUUGCCUAGCAACCAAGGGACAGCCAGGCUUCAGUUCGGGGACAGGCAGAUUUAGGCCUCACUUAGGCUUCUUCCACAGAUUAUCUAAUUUGCACUGGAUUAUAUGGCAGUGUAGACUCAAGGCCCUUCCACACAGCUAUAUAACCCAUUUAUAAUCUUAUAUUAUCUGCUUUGCACUGGAUUAUCUUGACUCCACACUACCAUAUAAUCCACUUCAGUGUGCAUUUUAUACAGCUGUGAAGAAGGGGCCUCAGAUAAUCCAGUUCUGAGCAGAUAAUAUAAGAUUAGAAAUAUACAGUAGAGUCUCACUUAUCCAACGUAAACAGGCCGGCAGGAUAAGUGAAUAUGUUGGAUAAUAAGAAGGGAUUCAGGAAAAGCCAAUUAAACAUCAAAUUAGGUCAUCGUUAUACAAAUUAAGCACCAAAACAUCAUAUUAUACAACAAAUUUGACAGAAAAAGUAGUUCCAUGCGCAGUAAUGCUAUGUAGUAUUUACAGUAGAGUCUCACUUAUCCAACACUCGCUUAUCCAACGUUCUGGAUUAUCCAACACAUUUUUGUAGUCAAUGCUUUCAAUAUAUCGUGAUAUUUUGGUGCUAAAUUCAUAAAUACAGUAAUUACUACAUAGCAUUACUGUGUACUGAACUACUCUUUCUGACAAAUUUGUUGUCUAACGAUGUUUUGGUGCUUAAUUUGUAAAAUCAUAACUUAAUUUGAUGUUUAAUAGGGUUAUCCUUAAUUCCUCAUUAUCCAACAUAUUCGCUUAUCCAACGUUCUGCCGGCCCGUUUAUGUUGGAUAAGUGAGACUCUACUGUACUGUAUUUACAAAUUUACCACUAAAAUAUCACAAUGAAUUUAAAACACUGACUACAAAAACAUUGAUUAUGAAAAGGCAGACUGCGUUGGAUAAUCCAGAACAUUGUAUAAGCGAAUGUUGGAUAAGUGAGAUUCUUCUUUAAUAUGAAAUAAUUACUGGGAUAGAAUAAUGCAGAACAAUAUAAUCUCUAAAACCAGGACAGUAAAUAAACAGGGGAAUUCCACACAGGAAACAAUCAGGGCCAGCUAACACCUCCCAACAAAGUAUUCCCAUCAUCAAAGUCUGGCAAAUCCUGUUUUCUCAGGGCCACAGACAGUAGAAGCACAUAAAAUAUCGCAAACAACACCACUCUGAAAACAAGGGAAUUCCAGACAGGAAACAAUCAGGGCCAGCUAACACCUCCCAACAAAAAAUUCACUCAGGGAGGAAACAGCCAGGCUUUAAAGCUGCAAGGUCAUUACAUCCUAAUCAUUUUUCCUAAUUGCAGCAUUCAUACUUGCCUCCAACAAACAAAAAAAACCCAAUCAGAAAUAUUGUAUAUUCACAACCUUUAGGAAAUAAUAUCCCCUGAUGGCGCAGCAUGUUAAAGCACUGAACUGCUGAACUUCUGGACUGAAAGGCCACAGGUUUGAAUUGGGGGAGCGGAGAG